rnacentral:lncRNA from 1 species
GGAUUUUGAUGUAAUACAAGGCAUGGAUUGGUUGGGUUGUAAUUACGCCACCAUCCGAUGUAAGAAAAGGGAGGUAUCAUUUCAGAAACCAGGAGACGAACCAUUUUCGUUCCUUGGAAUGAAGACGAAACCCCUUAUUCGACUAGUAUUGGCUUUGCAAGCUGAGAAGAUGUUGAGAAAAGAAACAUGUCAAGGAUAUUUAGUAAAUAUCUCAGGAGGAAAACAGGAGACGAUAAAGGUUGAAAACGUACCAAUAGUAUAGGAAUUCGUAGAUGUGUUUCCAGAAGAUCUAUCUGGUAUUCCACCAGAUAGGCAAGUGGGAUUUACCAUAGACCUAAUUCUCGGAGCGACACCAGUGUCAAAAGCCCCAUACCGA